ACCGGCAGCUCAAGUGGUGGCCAUUUUUAUUGGGCCUAAAGCGUUCGUAGCCGGUUUGAUAAGUCUCUGGUGAAAUCCCGCAGCUUAACUGUGGGACUUGCUGGAGAUACUAUUAGACUUGAGGUCGGGAGAGGUUAGGGGUACUCCCAGGGAAGCGGUGAAAUCCAAUGAUCCUGGGGGGACCAACUGAGGCGAAGGCGCCCAACUGGAACGAACCUGACGGUGGGUAGCGAAAUCCAGGGGCGCGAACAG
rnacentral:rRNA from 1 species